rnacentral:rRNA from 1 species
UACGUAGGGAGCGAGCGUUGUCCGGAUUCAUUGGGCGUAAAGAGCUCGUAGGCGGCUUGGUAAGUCGGAUGUGAAACCUCCAGGCUCAACCUGGAGUCGCCAUCCGAUACUGCCAUGGCUAGAGUCCGGUAGGGGCCCACGGAAUUCCUGGUGUAGCGGUGAAAUGCGUAGAGAUGCGGAGGAACACCGAUGGCGAAGGCAGCCCCCUGGGCCAACACUGACGCUCAGGCACGAAAGCGUGGGGAGCAAACAGG